GUGACGUAUGGUAUGAGAGGGUGGUAUAGAAUAAUGAAUGUAAG
rnacentral:misc_RNA from 1 species